CGUGAAGGAUAACGUUGCGUCAGCAACGGCCCGAAGGGCGAGGUGAAGCCGAGUCAUCCUGCACGACCCACCA
rnacentral:sRNA from 2 species